ensembl:snRNA U1 U1 spliceosomal RNA
GUACUUACCUGGCAGGGGGGAUACCAUGAUCAUGAAGGUGAUUUUCCCAGGGCGAGGCUCAUCCUUUGCAUUUUGGAGGUGCUGACCCCUGCAAUUUUCCCAAAUGCGGGAAACUCGACUGCAUGAUUUAUGGUGUGCCUGCGGGCUGCAUUCACGCU